rnacentral:rRNA from 1 species
AUUGAACGCUGGCGGCAGGCCUAACACAUGCAAGUCUAACGAGUGGCGGACGGGUGAGUACUGUCUGGGAAACUGCCUGAUGGAGGGGGCUAACUACUGGAAACGGUAGCUAAUACCGCAUACCAUCAGAUGUGCCCAGCUGGGAUUAGCUAGUUGGUGGGGUAACGGCUCACCAAGGCGACGAUCCCUAGCUGGUCUGAGAGGAUGACCAGCCAAACUGGAACUGAGACACGGUCCAGACUCCUACGGGAGGCAUCAGUGGGGAAUAUUGCACAAUGGGUGCAAGCCUGAUGCAGCCAGGCCGCGUGUAUGAAGAAGGCCUUCGGGUUGUAAAGUACUGUCAGCGGGGAGGAGUUACCCGCAGAAGAAGCACCGGAUAACUACGGGCCAGCCGCCGCGGUAAUUC